rnacentral:rRNA from 1 species
GACGAACGCUGGCGGCGUGCUUAACACAUGCAAGUCGAACGAUGAUGCCAGCUUGCUGGUGGAUUAGUGGCGAACGGGUGAGUAACACGUGAGCAACCUGCCCCUGACUUCGGGAUAACCGCGGGAAACCGUGGCUAAUACCGGAUAUGACGCGCUAUCGCAUGGUGGUGUGUGGAAAGAUUUAUCGGUUGGGGAUGGGCUCGCGGCCUAUCAGCUUGUUGGUGGGGUGAUGGCCUACCAAGGCGACGACGGGUAGCCGGCCUGAGAGGGUGACCGGCCACACUGGGGCUGAGACACGGAGCAGACAGCUGCGGGAGGCAGGCGUGGGGAGUAAUGCACAAUGAGCGAAAGCCUGAUGCAGCGACGCCGCGUGGGGGAUGACGGCCUUCGGGUUGUAAACCUCUUUCAGUAGGGAAGAAGGCCUUCGGGUUGACGGUACCUGCAGAAGAAGCGCCGGCUAACUACGUG